GAGCCUUUUCCCCCCUUGCAGGCUCCCUCUCUGGGCUUUGCUUCUGUGUCUUGUUUACCCAGCAGGUGGAUGUGACGUCAGGGACUGAACACAGCAAAAAAUAACAACAUCUCAAUCCGCCAGUCCAGCGUGGGCACCACCAGCAAAGUGGGGAAGGAGGGGGAGCAAGAAAAUAGUGCCUGAUCCAGGAGCCCCCAGACCGCAGGAGGAGAAGAAGGAGGGGUGCCAGUAAACAACAAGCAACAAGAGUGCAAAGAGGGGGUCGGGUCGGGUGGGGGGGCAGCAGAAGAGGGACUGCAGCCUGCCAGCCUUGGAGGGAGGAGAGCGCCCCGGCUGGAGAGGGGCCCCCGGGGGCGCUGCAGCCAUCACAGGAGUCAAGCACGAGCCCCGAGCUGCGGAGUAAUCUGCUUAUUUACUGUGUGGCUGUUGCAUGCUAUACUGGAAACCGCAUGUGCGUUUAAAAGGACAGCAAAUAAAUUAACACACACACACUGACACUGAAUGACAGGCUGCCUGGAGAGGGCCCCCGGUUGUAAAUGAUGGAAGGGAAAAUUAAAUCUUACAUUUAGUUUUUGAAAUCAAGACGUCAGCCAGCCUCUGUAGAAGUUUGUGGAUGGUUGCCCGGUUCGGUGAUGGUCAGGACUUCGGUGUGAUAUUUGAUUUGUGAGGCAUGAUGAGCGACGGAGUGUGAUGUCUCACAGUGAAGCUGCCUUAAUGUUCAUGAAUUUCUGCGGUUUGUGAAAUGACAAUCCCCCAAUACUGAGGCUGCUCCAGGAAAAUGACAAGUUUCUGAGGACAUUUGUCUACAAUUAGUGGCUCUCAAGACCUUGCAAAACUACAACUCUGAGGAUGAUUGGAGUUUUACAGUUAUACAGGAACUGG